GGACAUUGCCAUACCACCCUGAACGCACCUGAUCUCGUCUGAUCUUGGAAGCUCAGGAUAAAUGAUUUCUAAAGGCAGAGUCAC
ensembl:rRNA 5S_rRNA 5S ribosomal RNA